rnacentral:rRNA from 1 species
UACGUAGGUGGCAAGCGUUGUCCGGAAUUAUUGGGCGGAAAGAGCGUGUAGGCGGUCAGGUAGGUCCGUUGUGAAAACUCGAGGCUCAACCUCGAGACGCCGAUGGAAACCAUCUGACUAGAGUCCGGAAGAGGAGAGUGGAAUUCCUGGUGUAGCGGUGAAAUGCGCAGAUAUCAGGAAGAACACCCGUGGCUAAGGCGGCUCUCUAGUACGGUACUGACGCUGAGACGCGAAAGCGUGGGGAGCGAACAGG